GCAAACUUGGUCAUUUAGAGGAAGUAAAAGUCGUAACAAGGUUUCCGUAGGUGAACCUGCGGAAGGAUCAUUAUCGUAUCUCUGACGGGGUGCGGCGCGCCCAGCUCCGGUCCCAAAAGGGCCGUGCAGCGGGCGCCCGCCUCUGUUCAACCUUACAAACCACUGUGAACCUUCACGGCGGAAGGAGGGAGACCUCCCGAUGCCGCAUACAAACUCCAGUUGUAAAAGAAUGUCGUGCGGACCAGCGCCGCCUAAAACACAAAACAACUUUCAACAACGGAUCUCUUGGCUCUCGCAUCGAUGAAGAACGCAGC
rnacentral:misc_RNA from 1 species